AUGGCAGCCCGUGCCGGCGUCUUCUGCAAGGCCUCAAGGUUCCGUUGGCUAUGCUUGGUGCGCAGCGUGGUCGCCACAGCGGUCGCCGUGUUCGCCGGCGUCCUCGUUGUCUGGGCGGUGUUCCUGCUGUUCAAUCCCCUCAAGCUCCAACUCCGGAUCCCUAGCAGCUCCGUGGUGGUAAGAAGAGUCCCCGAAUCCGGUGACCGGUACCGUUUCACCUUCUUUCUCCAGGCUACCAACCUCAGAAAUCGCACCUCCAUCUACUACCACAACGUCACCAUCCGGCUCGCCGACAGCCAGGAGUACCUAUCCUUGCCACGGGAGAAUCGGACCUUCAUCGCUACGUUCAACCUGAGGGCUAAGAUAUUCUUGUCUCAAGGGAAGGAGGCCGAAUACUUCUUGACGGAGCCCGUAGGCAUGAAGUUGAACCUGUCGUACCUCCGGAAGCUCUUCCCCAACCAAACAGGCCACAACACCAUCGACGUGGCCAUGGAGGUGGAUGGCUUCCUCACCGACUACGGGCCGGGUGUGGCCCACCGCGCCACCUACAUCUGCAUCCCGCUCAAACUCAUGGGCAACUCCCCGCUGUCGUCGCUGUCCGACGAGAGCAACGCCUAUUGCGCGCCUACUUACUAA
rnacentral:rRNA from 1 species